CUCUACAGAAGCAGCCUUUGCAGCUCAGAACAUUUCCCCUUUAGAAUGGAAUCUAUGGAACCUCACCCCCUGGCCAGCUUGACAGACCUUCUGGGAGCCAGUCUGUGGCCUGGGGCUAUGAGGAGCAGAAAGAAGCUGUUCUUCUCUGGGAGACUUUUAAAUCAUCAGAUUUGACACCAGGAAAACUAAAUGCAUCAAGAGUUAGUAACUCUCUCCAACUUAUCUCAAGUCCUUCACUGCCUUUUUAAGGUAAAAAACUGCCUGAAGUCAGUGGUUCAUGUCUGUAACAUAUCAGGUGUGUCUCUUUUGGCAGGGCACAAGAUACAUGUCUGAUAAAAAUACACAGUCUACCCAGCAAUAAACAGUUGAUUAGGAUACAUAACUACCAAACUGUU